ACAGGUUUCCGUAGGUGAACCUGCGGAAGGAUCAUUGUCGAAUCCUGCACAGCAGAACGACCCGCGAACCGUUGAAUUGUGCCAUUUCGGACGAGUGU
rnacentral:rRNA from 1 species